rnacentral:rRNA from 1 species
UGGGGAAUAUUGCACAAUGGGGGAAACCCUGAUGCAGCGACGCCGCGUGAGCGAAGAAGGCUUUCGAGUCGUAAAGCUCUGUCCUAUGAGAAGAUAAUGACGGUAUCAUAGGAGGAAGCCCUGGCUAAAUACGUGCCAGCAGCCGCGGUAAUACGUAUGGGGCGAGCGUUGUCCGGAAUUAUUGGGCGUAAAGGGUACGUAGGUGGUUUUUUAAGUCAGGUGUCAAAGCGUGGAGCUUAACUCCAUUAAGCACUUGAAACUGAAAGACUUGAGUGAAGGAGAGGAAAGUGGAAUUCCCAGUGUAGCGGUGAAAUGCGUAGAUAUUGGGAGGAACACCAGUAGCGAAGGCAGCUUUCUGGACUGCAACUGACACUGAGGCACGAAAGCGUGGGUAGCAAACAGG